UAUGAGUGGCGAACGGGUGAGUAACACGUGGUACCUGCCCUCUUCUUUGGAUAACGCCCGGAAACGGGUGCUAAUACUGGAUAUUCACUGAUCUUCGCAUGGGGGUUGGUGGAAAGGUUUGUUCUGGUGGGGGAUGGGCUCGCGGCCUAUCAGCUUGUUGGUGGGGUGAUGGCCUACUAAGGCUUUGACGGGUAGCCGGCCUGAGAGGGUGACCGGUCACAUUGGGACUGAGAUACGGCCCAG
rnacentral:rRNA from 1 species